rnacentral:tRNA from 1 species
UGUAGCUCAGUAGUAGAGCAUUUGCCUGGCAUGUAUAAGUCCCUGAGUUCAAUCCCCAGUA